UGAGCAACCUGCCCUUGACCCUGGAAUAACAGACUGGAAACAGCUGCUAAUACCGGAUACGACCUCCGAUGGCAUCAUCUGGAGGUGGAAAGCUCCGACGGUCAAGGAUGGACUCGCGGCCUAUCAGCUUGUUGGUGAGGUAAUGGCUCACCAAGGCGACGACGGGUAGCCGGCCUGAGAGGGUGACCGGCCACACUGGGACUGAGACACGGCCCAGACCU
rnacentral:rRNA from 1 species